rnacentral:rRNA from 1 species
UAGGGAAUCUUCCGCAAUGGACGCAAGUCUGACGGAGCAACGCCGCGUGAGUGAAGAAGGAUUUCGGUUCGUAAAACUCUGUUGUUAGAGAAGAACAGCGCAUAGAGUAACUGUUAUGCGUGUGACGGUAUCUAACCAGAAAGCCACGGCUAACUACGUGCCAGCAGCCGCGGUAAUACGUAGGUGGCAAGCGUUGUCCGGAUUUAUUGGGCGUAAAGCGAGCGCAGGCGGUCAAUUAAGUCUGAUGUGAAAGCCCCCGGCUCAACCGGGGAGGGUCAUUGGAAACUGGUUGACUUGAGGGCAGAAGAGGAGAGUGGAAUUCCAUGUGUAGCGGUGAAAUGCGUAGAUAUAUGGAGGAACACCAGUGGCGAAGGCGACUCUCUGGUCUGUAACUGACGCUGAGGUUCGAAAGCGUGGGUAGCAAACAGG